rnacentral:rRNA from 1 species
GCAGCCGCCGCGGUAAAACGAAGGGUGCAAGCGUUAAUCGGAAUUACUGGGCGUAAAGCGUGCGUAGGCGGUGAGUUAAGUCUGCUGUGAAAUCCCCGGGCCCAACCUGGGAAUGGCAGUGGAUACUGGCUCGCUAGAGUGUGUCAGAGGAUGGUGGAAUUCCCGGUGUAGCGGUGAAAUGCGUAGAGAUCGGGAGGAACAUCAGUGGCGAAGGCGGCCAUCUGGACAACACUGACGCUGAGGCACGAAAGCGUGGGGAGCAAACAGGAUUAGAUACCCGCGUAGUCCCUGUCUCUUAUACA